UUUAAAAGGUAAGGGUAUUUUGAAGUGCAAACGGUUAGGGGUUGUAACUUUUCGGCAACAUGGAAAAUUUGAAAAGAUGUUGUGUCAGUUAUGAUCAAAGUGAUUAGAGAGAUAUUAUUAUUAAAUACAAGAUCAGAGAACAAUUUUCACUUACUCUCUUCCAUUUUCCUACUCUCAAGCAUCUUCUUCUAGUUUUAAUAGAAAAAAACCCCAACUUUGCUCUCAUCUCAUUUCUCUGUCGCAUAACAACUCUUGGUCAUGAUCAAGCUUUGAAAAGAUUUCUACAAUGCUUCUCAUUCUUUCCCAUUAAGCAGAAUGAAGAGAAAGCCAUCAUCAAAUGACCAAAAUGACGGCAUUCCCAGCAAGCGUGCAAAAAACAGCAAAAAAGGAAAGGCGAAAAUUGAAGAUUAGGAAGGGUUGGACAAGCAUACUUUAGAUUUUCUUAUUUCUCAUCUUAUGAGUAGGGCGAAAACUAUGAUAGCAGAAGGGAGCAAGCGGCGAAAACAACCUCAAAAAACAAAGGCACAAACUCAAGAAAAGGAGGCUGAGGAAGAAGACGAGCCAAAGGCCGAUGUGAAAAAACAUGGUACAGUUCAAUGUCGAUGCUCCGGUGAAAAGAUCGUAUUUGUUGUCAAACAAAUGGAUGAUCUACAAAAGAAAUCCAUUAAUGAUAUAGGCUUUGGUUGUCUCCUCUUCAAGCAGGUGCCUACAGUCAGGGGCCAUUUGCUCUGGUACCUGUUUUAGCGGUUAGACCCCGACACUAUGAAUCUCACCAUUGAUGGGGUGACUAACCCUGUCAUAGUUCAAUCCCUUCAGGAAAUACUUGGUUUCAAAGAUGGUGGUACACCGAUCGAUCCAUUAAUACUUAGUGAAGAUUUUUUUUUAAAUGGCAGAAUUCGUGGCAAGGAAUGGGCAUAUGAUAAAAGUAUCCACAUUGAUAAAGAAACUGAGUUCAACAAAAGAUACAGACAAUGUUUUUGUGAUCUGUUUUAUGAUGCUUGCUCUAGGUUUUUUCUUGUGCCUUUCAUCAGGGUACUUUGUGAACAGAGAAUUUCUGACCAUAUUAUAAGAUGUUGACAAGAUAAAGGAUCUAAAUUGAGCCA